rnacentral:rRNA from 1 species
AUUGAACGCUGGCGGCAUGCCUUACACAUGCAAGUCGAACGGCAGCACGGGAGCAAUCCUGGUGGCGAGUGGCGAACGGGUGAGUAAUAUAUCGGAACGUGCCCGGUCGUGGGGAUAACGUAGCGAAAGCUACGCUAAUACCGCAUACGAUCUACGGAUGAAAGCGGGGGAUCGCAAGACCUCGCGCGAUUGGAGCGGCCGAUAUCAGAUUAGGUAGUUGGUGAGGUAAAGGCUCACCAAGCCGACGAUCUGUAGCUGGUCUGAGAGGACGACCAGCCACACUGGGACUGAGACACGGCCCAGACUCCUACGGGAGGCAGCAGUGGGGAAUAUUGGACAAUGGGCGAAAGCCUGAUCCAGCCAUGCCGCGUGUGUGAAGAAGGCCUCGGUUGUAAGACGACUUCUAGCGAGAGGAAGAGU